ACAGUCAUAUCACAUUGAAACACUGGUUCUAGUACGAUCACCAAAGUUAAGCAACGCCGAAUCUGGUUAGUAUUUAGAUGGGUGACUUCUUAGGAAUAUCAGGUGCUGCAA